UACAGAGACCUCAAGCGUUAUCCGGAAUCAUUGGGCGUAAAGCGUACCGAUAGGUGGUUUAUUAAGUCUUGGGUAAAAGCCGGAAGCUUAACUUCCGCGUUUGCUUAAGAUACUAAUAGACUAGAGGGGCAAAGAGGAGAUUGGAACGAACGGUGUAGUAGUGAAAUGCGUUGAUAUCGUUCGGAACACCGAAAGCGAAGGCAGAUCUCUGGGUGCCACCUGACACUGCUAGGACGAAAGCGUGGGGAGCGAAUGGGA
rnacentral:rRNA from 1 species